rnacentral:rRNA from 1 species
UACAGAGGGUGCGAGCGUUAAUCGGAAUUAUUGGGCGUAAAGCGCGUGUAGGCGGCUUUGCAAGUCGGGUGUGAAAGCCCUCAGCUCAACUGAGGAAGGGCGCCCGAAACUGCAGAGCUUGAGUACCGGAGAGGGUGGCGGAAUUCCCCAAGUAGAGGUGAAAUUCGUAGAUAUGGGGAGGAACACCGGUGGCGAAGGCGGCCACCUGGACGGUAACUGACGCUGAGACGCGAAAGCGUGGGGAGCAAACAGG